rnacentral:rRNA from 1 species
UACAGAGACUGCAAGCGUUAUUCGGAUUUACUGGGCGUAAAGGGUGCGCAGGCGGCCAAGUGUGUGAGGCGUGAAAGCCUGGGGCUUAACUCCAGAAUUGCACCUCAAACUACAUGGCUAGAGCAUUGGAGAGGGUAGCAGAAUUCACGGUGUAGCAGUGAAAUGCGUAGAUAUCGUGAGGAAUACCAGAGGCGAAGGCGGCUACCUGAACAAUUGCUGACGCUCAGGCACGAAAGCGUGGGGAGCAAAAGGG